GGGCCCGUAGCUCAGUUGGUAGAGCAGCUGACUCUUAAUCAGCUUGUCACAGGUUCAAUCCCUGUCGGGCUCACCA
rnacentral:tRNA from 1 species